UGAAUCUAUUAAUCACAACUUCACUAUUACCACUUAUCUUCUUCCAAUGUCAUGUUGUAUAAUUAAUGUAUGUAAUUAUUCUAAUUAUUCUUAGCAAUUUCCGUUUUUCGAAAAAACUGAUUAUACAUUUUUUUAAUGAUUAUUUAUUAAUUCCUGGAAAAAAAAUUAUAAAUCGCAAUUUAUAAAAAAGUCCAUAAAUUAAUCUCUUUUGCAACAUAGUUCUCCUCUUUAGUAACGACGCUCAAUUUUAUCAACAAGUUUGUAAAAACAGAAAUAUAAAAAAAAAAAAUCGUUGAACUAGGACGACAAAAAUAACAAAGCCGAAUCACGAGGAUUAAAUUCCAUUUUCAUGACUGUGCGCCUAAGCUAUUUAUCAACAGAGGAAAAACGAGGGAAUCGUGGGAGCAGAUGGUGGCGCCACUAUUAAUAAAAAUAAUACAUAACCUACGUGUCGCGAAACAACCUCGUGAUCGUCGUGAACGCGAAAAACAGUGGGGUAUUAACACCAGUUUAUGUAAACGGGAAAGAGACAAGAGAGUUUCGAAAAUAGUCGUUCGCGACCCACCACCGCGUACGCAUUUAGACGGCCGCGCUAAACUUAGAUUGUUUUCUGAACAAACGGGUUAAGAGGGGUCCCGGAGAAGUGUAUGACACGAUGGAAAAUGCUUGGAAAGAAACACGUUUAUACGGAGCGGCUCGAUUAACCGGAGGAGGAACACGUGUCUUGGAUGGAGAGCUCGUGAGAGGGCAUGAGCAUUGAAAGCGAACAAAUGGAAGGUGUUUCUCGGAAGCUUGGAUACUUAACGGAGAAAACCGUAGUGUUGCACUACUUGGUGACAUUUUAGCUGGUAUAAAACGAGAUCGUAAUGUUUCAAGAGAAUUGAAAAAAAGGAAAGGAAAAAAAAGUAAAUCAGAUAUCAUACCAGAUAUUAUGGAUAUGGAUAGAUGAGACGACUUGAUUUGACUCCAUUAUGGAUAAUUUUGAGAAUAAUGCCUUGAAAUUGAAGAGUCUUGAUGGAGGUAGAUUCAAAGUGGAGGAAAUUUUGUUUGAAAUGAUUUAGAAAAAAGAAAAGUUAUUGGAAUAAUUUAUGCAUGAAAUUGAUAUUGAUAAUUGCAAGAUUAAAAAAUUUCACUUAGAAAUGAUCUUGAGAUCUCCUUUCAAAAUUGAAGAUCAAUGGAUCUUAUAAUAAUCACAAAAAGGUCUCAAAAUUAGAGGAAUCAUGAGAUCAAUGGAUCUUAUAAAAAAUGAUUCUAAGAUUGAAGAAUUCUCUAAGAUAACCUGAAAAAAUAAAUCUAUUUGGAUCUAAAAAUGGUUCCAAGUUGGAGGGAUUCUUGUUAGAUGAUAUGAAUGCUAUAAAGAAUUGAACACAAAAUUAACACAUUCCUGUUCAGAUGAUCUUUAAAUUUAUGAAUUGUUAUUGAUUCUAGAAUCGAGAAUCUCGACUGAAAUGAAUCUAACAAUAAGGAUUUCUAUAAAUUAUUAUAUAUUAUUAUCAGUAUUAUUAAUUCAUUGAUAAUGGACCAUAUGGACAGUUAUGGAGGAAGAUAUAUUUCUGAAAAAUCCCUAUUAUGGCUCUUAUCCAUUAAACGCAAGUGAGGUAUCUAAUAACGAGGUCCUAAAUGCAAUUACUGUUGAAACAAACAUAUUGGAUUUCUCUCCAUUAAACCAAAUUCAAGAAUUGACGAGAUUAAAAAUGUGUCAAUUAACAAAGCACUGAAUUGAAAAUUUCUUAAUUAUUGAUUUUAUAAGAAUUCAUUAUUUUUUUUUUUGAUACUUCUAACAUUUCUAUUAUUUUUUCUAGAUAAACAAUUUUGAUUAAUUUCCUGAAUCAUGAUACAUAUAUAUUUAAAAUUGUUCUAUCUUUUAGUUAUUUUUCUGAUUUUUAAGUCAAGUAGAUACAAAAUUUGAUUUAACAACACGUUUCAUAAUUGUAAAUUUAUAGUUUUAACGAAUAUUAAACACUGUAUUAGGAAUAUAAUUAUUGCAUCAGAAAUGUUCUUAUUAGAUAUAACUAUUCAGAUAUCACGUUGAUCAACGUCUUACAAUAUAGUGACAUAGUUAAACGCUGUGUAACGGUAUUUAUAUGUAUUAGAUCUUGUACCGCCUGAGGAUAUUAGUAUUGAGUUUCACAAAGUUAGUUAGUGCGUCGUUACCAAGUUUCUCGUGUUUGUGCAUUUAUAUUAAUAUUAUCUGAUUAUUAUGCCUAUUCCUUGCACGCUAUAUAAAUUAUACGUGUCACAUAUUAUAUCAAUAUUGUUUAUCUCACUGAACUGAAGAUAUAUAGGAUGAUGGAGAGAACUGAGGAAAGAUGUGUGACAAUAAUGAUAAUUUUUUUUUUUUCUAAAAAUUUAAACAGUUUUUUUAAACGGAAUACACGUUAGAAAAACUUAAUUGAUCGAGCAGUUUCAAAUGUGUUACUAAUUACCACUAUUUACAUGAUAAUUAAGCUCGCGCUAAUAGAAGAGAAAUACGAUAAUCGAUCGUUCCACACUGUCAACUGUGAUAUUAUGAGGAAAUAAAAUAUUUCUUGGAACGAAAUGAAACAAGUAUCAAGUGUUUAUAACGUUUUGAAAAAAUAUUUUGUUCGUGUAAAAGGAAAGGAAUCGAGACCUUUUAGAAACAGUUAAAUUAUAAUUCUAUUUUCAAAGGUAAUGCAAAUUCAUUCUUAACAGUGCUCCGUGUAAAAUAAUAUUUUUAAACAAAUGAUCCAUUUUUCCAUCUCGAAAUUGAUGAUAUUCCUUUAUCUUUCGAGGAAGCAAAUUUUCUUCGGUAACCUAAAGUAAUUGUUAAAUAUUCAAUUAUUAAAAAGAAUAUAUAUCUCUUUGCAUCAAUUUUCUCUUCAUCAAUUUCAAUAUUUUAAGGACUCACCUUGCUCGUCACCUAUUUAAGGUAAUAUAUCCAUGUGCUCAUAUUACGGAUCACUUGCUACGGAUGAUCAGCUGAUCAAUUAAAAUCUGUGGUUGACGACCAAUGAUCCGUGAUACGAGCAUAGAUACCUUAAAUAGACGACAACCGAUAACAUAUCUGAUGAACUCUGCAACUCCAGAUGCACAGCAUACGUUAAAACGUUGUUAAUUCAAGGAGAAAUUAUAAAUAAUAUGUUUUAAUAUGAACUGACUUUGCAUCAAGUUUUUUUUUUAAUUUAAUUGUGAUUAUAUUGUUCCAACAUUACAUUGGAAUACCUAAUUUGUUAUUUUCACAGAAUAAUACUGGAUGGUAUAUUGGUAGAUAUUUUUGGUUGCUUCAACAAAUCCAGAAAUUGUGUGCAACACAACAAAACAAUACACAAUGAUAUUUUAUCUAUUCGUUCAGAAAAUAAUGAGUAUAUUCUCAUUUAAAUGUAUGCCAAGAACAUCUGCAAAUUCUAAUAAACAUUAUUUUAACACAUCAUGACAUCCCAAUUACGUGUUUUCAUGAAUUUAAUUUUCAUCACUUGAAAACAAUAAUUGCAAAAAAUAUAUACAUUUAACAUUUAUUCAUUUUUUCUCAAAUUAAUAUUUCCAAUUAUUCAGCAUAGAAAUUUCAAUGGAAAAGAAAUAACGAUGAAAUAAUCCAAUGUUUUAAAUAUAUAUUAGAGUAUCAUCGAGACAAAUAUUUCCAUAAAUAUUUCACAACAAUGCUCUAACGGGUAUCAUUAUCGAUAAAUCUACGACAACCAAACUGUGCAGAAAAACCAAUGAAUGAUGGAUUUCUUCGAUAAAUUUAAAGAAAAGCAAUAGAAGACCAAAUAUUAAGGAGAGGUAGGAGGAUAGAAGGAAGAAGAAAAAGAAGAAGUAAAUAUAUAUAUAUAUAUAUAUAAGAGAAAAGUAGCGAUGCUGGUCUCGUUAAGACGCUUCAAGAUGGUACUUCCUCCAUUUCCUCCUCAUGAUUCGCUAUCAAAGCCGCCAUCUUGAAAGCACUUUAAAUCAAUUUAUUAGCUCCGUUUUUAAUCACCCUCCCCGUUUCGAACUGUCCACGAUGAGGAGGAGAAGACACUAGGGAAGAGGUGAAAAAGGACGAACGAAAGAAAUUACUGACGAGUCGAUCGUGGAAAUAUUUUUCCUCCAAUGGCGCUUCGCCUUCAUCAUCCCUUGCAUCUUGAUUAAACAAUCCUACGGCAUUCCACCAUGCUUGUUCCUCUCGAAAUUACCCUCUCAGAUUAUAUUCCAACUAUUCACGUUAUUUCGACGACAACCAGCCUCGCCAAUCAACCGAUUCUUAAAGAGGAAUGGAAAUAUGGGGAACCUGCUUUGGAUAAUGAUUAAUGUGCGAAUUCCACUCCACAUAAGUGGGAUUAUGUAUAAGAAGAUGAAGAUUGUGAUUGAUUUGUCAUUUUAAAUUAUUAAAGGGGGAUUAAAGGAUACAAUCUUUUUUCAACUAUUGAAAUGAAUUUUUGAAGGGGAUGUGGAAAUGUUCAGCUCUCCUUUGAAUGAUUAAUGAGAAUUCCUUUACAUUCUAUAAGUGAGAUUUAUCAGAGAGAAGAUAAAGAUUCUGAUUGAUUUGUUAUUUUAAAUUAUUAAAUGAGGAUUAAAGGAUACAAUGUUUUUGAACUAUUGAAAUGAAUUUUUGAAGGGAGAUGUGUAAAUGUUCAGCUCUCCUUUGAAUGAUUAAUGAGAAUUCCUUUACAAUCUAUAAGUGAACUUAUCAGAGAAGAUGAAGAUUCUAAUUGAUUUGUCAUUUUAAAUUAUUAAAUGGGAUAUUAUUAGAGGAUAUAAAAUUAUUAAAGGAUACAAUGUUUUUGAACUAUUGAAAUGAAUUUUUGAAGGGAGAUGUUCACCUUUGGAUGAUUAAUGAAAAUUCUUCCACUCAAACAUAAGUAGGACUUAUCAGAGAAGAUGAAGAUUCUGAUUGAUUUGUUAUUUUAAAUUAUUAAAUGGGAUAUUAUUAAAGGAUAUAAUAUUUUUAAACUAUUGAAAUGAAUUUUUGAAGGGGAUGUGGAAAUGUUCAACUCUCCUUUGAAUGAUUAAUGAGAAUUCUUUUACAAUCUAUAAGUGAACUUAUCAGAGAAGAUGAAAAUUCUGAUUGAUUUGUCAUUUUAAAUUAUAAAAUGGGGAUUAAAGGAUACAAUGUUUUUGAACUAUUGAAAUGAAUUUUUGAAGAGGAUGUGAAAAUAUUCAGCUCUCCUUUGAAUGAUUAAUGAUUAAUGAGAAUUCCUCUACAUCCUAUAAAUGGGAUUUAUCAGAGAAGAUAAAGAUUCUGAUUGAUUUGUUAUUUUAAAUUAUUAUAUUAAAAUAUUAUGGGGAUUAAAGGAUACAAUGUUUUUCAACUAUUGAAAUGAAUUUUUGAAGAGGGAUGUGGAAAUGUUCAACUCUUUAGCUUUGGAUAAUUAAUGCAAAUUUCUCGACAGUUCAUGAAUCUAUUGAAAGGAUGGAGAUUGUGAUUGAUUAAAAUUAUUUAUCACUUUAAAUUAGCAUCUGGGAAUCAAUAUUUUAUGAACUAUUGAAAUGAAUUCUUAAAGGUAGAAUAAAAUAUUUAUCCAAAAAUUUGAAUAAUUAGUGCAAAUUUUUGAAAACUUUAUAAAUAGAAUUCAUGUAAAGAUAUGAUUGAUUAAAAUUUUUCAUUUUGAAUUAAUAACUAGGAAUGAAAAACUAGGAAUUUUGAAAUAUUAAAAUGAAUUCUUAAAGAAGAUGGAAACUUUGCUUUUAUGGAAUAUUUUAUUUUUAAUAAUUGAGAAUAAAAAUUACCAUUAUCUAGAAUCAUUAUUUAGAACGCACAAAAAUUUUUCUAUUUAGGUACAAUAAAUAAAAUUUUUUUUAAAUUUUAUUUCUAUAUUUAUCUUUUUACUAUAUUUAUCUUUUUUUAUUCCAAAUAUUUUUUCUUAUUAUCGUAAUAUUUUCUAAGGAUAGAAUUUUCCCUUAAAAUUUUCUACUGCAUUUUCACUUUAUUUAUUUUCCCCUUAUUCCAUUGUAUUUUCUAAGGAUAGAACAUUUCCUUUGUAUUUCACUAAGGAAUAAAAUUCCAAUAGAAUAUUAUUAUAUCCUGAUGUUUUUUCGAGAAGAAGAAAUAUGUUAUCGUGAAUAUAUAUAUUGAUUAGACUCUUGAUUCCAUAGAUUUGAAAAAUAAAGUAUUUAUUCUACAUUUUAUUUACAAUAUAUUCAUACGAAAAAACUGUGGGAAUAUUUAAAUAAUAGAAUCCUAGAAUAAGAAUACAUAAUAAACGUGUGAAGAAAAGAUCAAAUAUAAUGGGGAUUCUUCUGAAAUAAUAAUAAUCUCAUCUUUAAGAAUCGAGAUUCGUAAAGUACAUGGAGGAAACUUUUUUUUUUGCAUUAUCCAAUCAUUUCAAUAUUUGGUUCUAACCGAAAUAACAAUGACUCCUCUUUUGAGAAAAUGAAAAACUUUCUCCUCGAAUCGACUUCAUAUUAACAACUUUAUAUGCACGAAACUUUGUUCACACCAUCUUAUUGUAAGAGUAACUCCUAAAUAUAUAUCACAUAUUUUUUAAUAUUAAUUUUUAUUUUCUAAUUUUAUACAAUUGAGACAAUUUGUUCAAGAUGAUUGAAUAAAUUUUAUGAAAACUUCAUCUCCAAGUUGAAGAGCUUUUAUACAUAAGAAACAGAAAAGUAUCAUUUUAUAAAAAAUAAUUUACCAAUAAUUUACAUAAUAAAAUCUUUUUCUCAAUUAUCAUCUGAAGAUUAGAAAUCCUAAUCAUAAAAUUUUUUGAAAAUAUAUUUUCUCCAAUCGCAGAAGAAAAAAAUGGUAAUCUCUUAAAAUUAUUUCUACAAAACAUUUUGUGCAACUUUUUGUGCGACUGGCUAAUCUAAUUUGCAUGGUCGAUUAAUAUGCAAUUCCUCUCUUUACCUCUCGAAAAGGGGUCUGAAAACGAUGUUGCACCGUGACAAGCUAAGGCAAUUGCGUUCCAUCAAUAAGUUUAGUCAACGAUCGGAGAAACGCACCGAAUCCCUUUGAUCUUGCAAUGACAAACGAACCUGUCCUGCCAACAAACAUUCCCCAGAUUUCAUCCCGCGAACCUCCUGAGACCACGUGAACAAUAAACAGACUGCGAUCCAUCCACAUCAGAGGUUCGAUCAAUUAAAGCCUGGAAAAUUAAUUCACCGCGAAUACGAAAUUUGUAUCAAUCGUAUCAAUCGAGCAAUUUCUUCGUUUCCAAUCAAAUCCAUAUCUUGGUUUAUCGUUAAUUCACAAUUUUCUACAUCGCACAAAAUUAUCACUUCAACUUUAGUUUUAAAAAAUAUUGUAUUUUUUUUCUACAAUAUUUAAACAAUCUUCUUUGUAUUUACAAUUUAUAUUCAAAUAAUUGUUUUGCAAUUUUUAAAUAAUACAUAAAGGAGAGUUUAAAAGAAAUUGUUCAGUAAAAAUUGUGAGUUUUAUAUUCUAUGAUAAUUUUUUUAAUUGCAAAAAUAUAGGAAAUUGUCUCUUUGAACAAAUUAUUACACUUUUUGUGAAUAACGUUUAUGACGUUUAAUUGGCAAAUUAAAAUUUUGUGAAUUAGUUGAUGGACUGUUAAUCACUUGAUUCUAAUUGUCCACAGUUAAAUUACAAGUUCGUUUCUUAACGCGGAUUCGUGCAUUAAGGGAAAAAGAGUUGCAGAGACGCGGCGCAAAGGUCAGGAAAGCAAUUCGAGAGUUCCAUUCACGAUAAAAUGAAACUGUAUUCGACGUGCCUUUUUUAAAGAGAUCUCAAUUUCAGUAACGAACGUUACUUAUUAUUCCAUUGUGGUAAGAUUCCAUUAGCCUUUUCCGAAUCAAAUUUUUUCGAGCAGAGUUUUGAUUUAACCUCGUUAAAUUAUAUUUUCCUUCUUACAAAAAUAAUAUUUUCACGACCGAAUGAUUUCUUCGUCGAAAUUUCCCUCUUUAAAUAUAUAUUCGAUUAAAAAUUUCUGUUAAAUUUUUUUCUCUUCGAUCCGACUUUUUCCUCUACAAAAAGAAGCUAUUAAUUAAUAUAAAAGGAACGAUUUCUGGAAACAACGAAAGAGUCAAUUUAAAGUUAACAGUAAAAAAAAAAAGAGUCAAUAAGAAAAGAAACGAGAAUCUCAGUCUUCCGUGUCUAUGGCUCCCUUAUUCAGACAUGGUUUCGACCGAAAAUUCUAUUUAGAUAAACCUGACAAGUAUUACGUAGGCUUUACUCGCUCACUCUUUCGGAUCAAACUUCCUCCUGCGAGCUGUGGAAAUCGAUAAAAGGGGGGGAUGGAACAACGACACUGUUUCGUCUGCACGGCGGGCAUCGUUCUUUUUCUUUUUUUCUAAAUCUACGACAAAGAAAAUGGAACAGCGGCGAGAUAGAGAUUUCUUUAACAGCCUGGCCGCGAUAAAACGGGACAAAAGAGGGACGAGUUGUAACCGAGAGUGUUAUAUAUAUAUAUUUCUCUGUCUUGUUUUUCAUCUGUUACCCGGAAACGCUCUUUCGAGAUUGCGUAUGCAAUUUCGUGAGUAAUUUAGCGUAGAUUCUCUUGAGAGUGAUGGUUUAAUUAUUAUAGGAGAGAGAGAGAAGGAAAGAGAAAGUUUUUAUUAUUCAUUUCGUUCUAUUUUUAUUUUAUUUCUUGUUUCGAAUAAUAAUAAUAGGCGUCGCCGAUUCGCUCGGUAAUUGGCGGAUCAUUACUUAGCCGCGAUCAACUAAUGAUUGGCCAGUAAAUGGUCAAUCAGUGGCCAAGGUAAUGGUCAAUCAGAGAUCAAUAGUUAACCAAUUAAUGGGCAGAUUAAUGGUAAGAUUUAGUGAAUAGAAAUUAAUAUGUAAAACAUCUCUAGUUCUAAUAGAAUUAUUUGAUUCUUAAAUUAAUUCGAGAAUUGGAUUAAAAUUGGAAGAAAUUAAACGAUUGGAUUAUUAAAAAAUAUUAGAUAAUCGAUGUCACGGAAACGAUAUUGGAAAAUCAUUACGAAAUUUUUAAAGCAUGUUUAAAAUAAUUGCACUACGUAUUUGCGAUAUAUUAAUCUAUGCAUUGUAUUCGUUGAACCGCAUCACAUUUUCAUUUAUACAUCUCGGCUCUCGCAAAAUUUGCCUAAUGGAAAACCAUUCGAAUGUAAGAGCGAUGUGGAAAAAAAAAAACCUGUGCAGCAAGGUUCCGCCAAAUUCAAAACCAAAGCUUUUAUAUUAAUUAAAUGCAUAUAUAAUAUCCAGGAAUAAUAAUAAAAAAAAAAGGAAUAUAAAAAUUCAUUUUUUACAUGCGUGAUAUGCAUAGUGGAUUAAACGUUUUUUUUAAUAUUUUUGAAUUUUAACAAUUUAUAACGAAAAAGAAGGAGGGAGGGGAAAAAAUAAAAUUUUAUAAAUACGUCCAUGAAAGUUUUAUUUCUUUUUUCUUCUUCUUCUUCUUUUCUUUUCCUUUUCUUUUACGCAAACUAAUAAUGAACGUGUUUUUACAUAUCGCCUGUAUAUUUGCGCCCCAAUUAGUUUAAAGGGGGGCAAGGUUACGAAAUAUUCUCGAAAUGCCGAAUAAUUUACGAUCAGAUGAUGAGAAUGAAAAUCUACGAGAACAAGUGGAUUACAGAAUUAGAUCAGAAACGAUACAGAAAUUGUAUCCAUGCGUCACACGCGCUAAUAAAAAUGAAAAUAAGAAAAAAAUAUCCCUGAUUUUUUCAGGUCAAUUCGAAAAAAUAAAUAUUACGUUGAAUCUUUGUCCGACAGGCGAUCAAGUAUAUUUAUUAUGUUAAUUUAUAGCAUUCCUGGAUUUAUUUCGUCUUUUAAAUAACAUUUCAUUUGUCCCUCCCUCCCCCCUCUUAAUUGUGUAAUAUGAUUAUAAAUUCAUAAAAGAUUAAAAAAAAAAUUAAUACACGAGAAAUUUAUAUUUUCAAUAAUUUUUUCCCUCCUUUCUCGCGAUAAUUAUGCAAAUUGAUUGAUUAUAACUCUAAAUUGUUUCGAGUUUAAUUUUUUUUAUCGCGCAAUAUCGAAAAAUUAGUUUUAUCCUCGUUUUAAGUGAUAUUAUGAAGUUUUGUUUAAAAUAAAAGCGAAUAAUGGAUUCGAUCAAUUUUUAUUGUAUAUCCAGUUAAAAAAAAAAAUAUGUUUGAAAAAUUCAUGGAAAAACUACUCUCUGAUUAUUUAUCUUUAAUGUACAACAAUACUGAAUAUUGUUGAAAAAUUGAGUAUCGUUAAAUAUCAUUCGACAUUCCACUUUUUUUAUUACAAAAAUAUGCUAUUAAAAAAAAUAAUUGAUUUGCACAAACUGUUAAUUAAAUUCUUCUGACAAAUGUCCCGGUUAAUGGAACAACCUGCAUAAGUUGUAUAAAUAGAAAAAUACAAGGAAGUAUUUAUCGAUCGAUAUAAUGAAAAAUAAAGGGGGCAGAAGAACGUGUGAACGAACUACAAAGGAACUACACGAUUAUCAUAUACUUCAUCCGUUUAAACAAAGAAUCUUCCAGUCUAUCUAAUUUUUAUUUAAAAAAAAAAAAUUCUAAUAUUUCAAUUCUAUGAUUCUAAUAGAAUUUUUAAUAUUUAAUUCCAUCAAAUAUUUUAUAAACAAAAAAAAAACUCUAAUUUUCCCAUUUAAUUUCAUUAAAAUUGAAAUUAAUAAAAAAAGAUGAACGUUCGAAACUAAAAAUGCACGAUAGGAGAAGAGAAAAAUUAUUAAAAAUUAUUAAAAAUAAAUUAUCAUUAUAAGUUUAAUUAGUUUGUCAUAUUUUUGCAAUUACGAUUUUCGUAUGAUAAUUAUUUCAUUUUAAAAUCGAUUAAGUUUAGAGAGAAAAAAAAUGUUAUAUUCACUUAAAUAAUUUUUAAUCGAUUACACCUACAGUGACAAAAUGUCAACCGUGAACAACAAUCACCGUGAAAUAAUUCGUUUAUAGCAACCCUUCGAUAUGACCCAUCGUUCAAAGAACGAACGCGUAUUUUGCUCGACAGUGCGUAAUCAACUUUUUUGUAAACUCUUAAAAACGCAUUUACGCUUACGAUAUAUCCUGGAUGCAUUUUUGCGCAAAUUAUUCUACGUUUCAAAUUUUUUUUUCCAUUUUUGUGACACGUGAUCUUUUUCUAACGAAGAAAUUAAAAUAUUUUCUUCAGUGAAUUAUUAAAAUUAUUUAAUCAUUUAGCAUGAUUGUGUUUUAAUUUGUAAUAAAAUUAAUUACAAUUAUUUUUCGGACGAUGAUAUUUCUAUAAUUCUAAUUUCUGUCCAAAUUUCUAAAAUUGAAUAAAUAAAUUUAAUUUCAAUAACGAUAUGAAAUAUUCGAGAAAUGAAAAUAUAUAUAUAUAAAAAGAAAAUUCAAUACAUUAAUCAGAAAUACAAAAUUAGACGUUUUAAUUACCUUGCUUAUUGCCAUUGUAGUGUUUAAUUGUUCAAACAAACUUAUCAUUUUAAUAAUUGAAAUGCUUGAAAUGUUUAAAUAUGAAUUCCAUGAAAAUGAAGAAAGCUAUUCCAUAGGUAAAUAUUCGUCCAUAUUUUCGAUCAGAGCAAAAGAAGAAAUGUAACUCAUUUGCAAGUGGAAUUAAUUCCAUUUUAUAAUAACCUACAAUGACCGUGCUCAUUUCAUUUUAAUAUUCAUGGAUAGACUUAUCUGAUUACCGGGUCAUUUGAUAAAACUUUAAAUCCUAUUAUUUCCUAUCAUCUACCAUUGUCAUGGUUUCAUCUACUUGAAUGAUAAUAAAAGACAAAUCAUUCUUUAAAAUGCAGGAAUAUAAUUCAAUAAAAUAUAUUUUAUUCUCGAUUUAUAUCGAAAAUUAUAAAUUUUUGUACGAAAAAACAAAUACAUUAUACAUUAUUAAUGUUAAUAAAAAAGAAUUAACGAACGAAUAAUGAUAAAUAACUUUUCCAUUUGAAUCAAGUUCAUUCACUAUGUUUAUUUUCCAUUGAAAUACAUUGUUGAAUUGUAUUAUUAUACAUGUAAAUAUUCUUCAUUUAAGUCAAUUUUCAUAUCAUAUUUAUUACAUUUUUCCCUAUAUAAUUAUCGUAAUUUUGUAGUUAAAUUAAUUUCGAAAAGAAGAUGAGAAUCAUUUGCACAUGUAUUCAGGUCAAUCAUAAAAUAACUCACUGUACGUUUUACUCACGAAUUACGUCAAAUUUAAAAAUAUAUAAUUUAUUAUACGAGAUACACGCAGUUUAAAUUUUCCUGUUCCGUAAAAUACAUCAAACCGGUAGUCAAGCGUUAAAAAAUCAACGAAAUCGAAAAAAACAAAAAAAUCAUCGUUAAAACUUUCGAAAAAAAAAAUAUACAGCCUCGAUGUAUCGCACGACAAUAUAUCGCCUACGUAUCAAAUAUCAGCCGGAAAGAGGAAUCGAGUGGAUUUAUCCGGCAAAUGCAUUCUGCAUACAUUGAAACUAUGUAAUCGAGGCAAUCGAAGACGUUCAUCGAACCCGGAGGCAUUGUCGCGCACGCGAAUCGAAAUACAUAUGUACUAUUCGUAUCCACAAAUGAGUAUAUCUACGUGUGUAUGUGUGAAGUGUGCAUCAACACAACGCUGCCAAAACACAACUUUCCCCUAGUUUCAAAUCGCACUAGAAUAGAAAAAGAGAUUUCGAGUGGCGGCGGCCGCGCGUCUUUUUGGUCGAGGAACGUGACACGUUCGUGCGUGCUCGUGCGUAUUCGUACUGCGACUCACCGGGUAGUAGGGAGAGGACUCGUCGUGUAGGACCACCCAGCGACGAGCGUCGCGUCGGCCCCCAAAAGACAAGCACGUGGAGUACGGUAUCAUGGUGACGGCGGCGACAAGAAGGGGGCGUACGAUCCGCUCGAACCUUGUCACCGAGGACGUCGCUACUAAUUGUCGUCCGCGUCGUGGCCGCCGUCGUCUACGCGUUUUUUAUCAAAUUUCUGGCGUACACGUUUGACGUUUUAGCGGCGUUUGAUAACGCGUCUCGCGCCGCACCACGAACAACCGAACGGGUUAGCGAAACCCACGAUGGAAAACAACAAGAGGCGACCGGCUAGCCAAGGACCACGAGACUCGAGUGUAGCUAGGGAAUCACGACAGCUGAUUGGUCGAUGAGAGUACCACCGCCGUCUGCCGACCAUUGCGCGCAACCGCGUCCGAGAGAUCAAUGAGACUCGAAGCGAAGAAGACACUCGCCUAGAAGUAGCCGAACGUUCACGAGAGUGUGCGAGGUUCACCGAAGAUUGCACUGCUUGAGAAUCGGGUCGCGCUGCCGCAUAUAGUCGAUACGGAGUGACGUUUAGGUUUGACAAUUUUCUUUCUUGAUGAUUUUCUUCUUAUUUUGUAACGUAUAAUGUACGUAACGUAUGCAAGAGAAACUCUUAAUAAUUCAUUAAUGAAGAUAACGUAACGAAUUGGUAUAAUCGUUGAUUAUGUCAUUUUCCGCUUAAUGAUAGGAGAUAUUUGAUUCGAAUUGGUUGAUGAACGUUUAACGAGUACAGUUAAUCGACCGAUAAAUGACAAGAAACGGACAAAAGCAAACCUACGUAUUCACAAGCCAGUUUGGGAUACACUAUAUUAUUGUUUCCUUCUUAGAACUAAAUCGAGUUUACUAUAAUGAUUGCAUUUAUGAAGCUGACUUUAGUAAACGUCACGCAGAAAUGUACGUGCAGGUGCCAAGGAGCUGGUUUAAAUUUAGCAAUAUCGCGUGCAACCAAUACAUUUUCACAGGAUUAAUUGAUUUAACCUGAGGAAAGAAUCAUCCAUGCGUUAUCAGUAAAAUAUCAAACGCACGUUUAUAAAUAUUAAACAUGUCAUUUGAAUUCUUUGCAGAUGAUAUGUUAAUUUUUAUAUAGAAAAAUAUAUUCGUAAGUGAAUUUCAAUCUUAAUUUCUUUUUUUAAAUUAAUUAUUUUUAUCGUUAUUCAAUUUCUUUUAUAUGCUUUGCUUUUCAAUCUACCAAAAAAUCUAGUCAUUCAAUCAUCGCUAUCAGAUAAGAUUUCAAAGGAUGAAGAAUCCUCUUUGUGCAAAUGAAAUCGAAGAUUUGUACCGUGCUUUAUCUUUAUCCGCACUAUUGUUUCAAUACAACUAACAAUAUGGAUAGCACAAUGCUUUACUAAAUCUCGAAACGAUAAUAGUAAUUGUUUGCCAAUUAUUAAUUACAAUACAAAUUUAAUAACGCAAGAAAUUUUUAAUAAUAAAAAAUUUGAAUUGACAUACCCUUAUACUUUAAUAAUAUUAUUUGAAACAAAAGAUUUAUUUCCUGACUGUCGUGAAUCAUCAAUGAUUCAUAAAAUACUUUUAAUCCGCUUCUUUUAAUAAAAUCGCAAUCUUUUUUUAUUGAUAAAUUGUAACUGAAAUUUCAGCAAUGAAAAAUUAAUACGAUAUAAAAAAAGUUAAAGGAUUCGUGAUUCUCAGGAUCUCCCAAGGACAAUUACGCAUUGAAUGACACAGUCCGCGUUACGUCAUUGAUAAGAUGUCGCACAUGUUUCGUGACACGAAUACGUAUGACGAAACAUCGUGGGAGCAAAAGCGUCAAACGAUAAGAAGAAAAAAAGUAGCUGGAAAGGAGAUCGUAAAAUAUAAAAAAUAUAAAGAAAAUUCUUUCUCUCCUUUCGGAAUAAAAAAUGGAAUAAAAAAAUGAAACAGAAUAUCGGAAAGUAUCGAAGCGAAAUACAUCGAUGAAAAAAAAGAAAGAAAGAAAAAAAAAGAUAAUACGAAAAAGAAAAUAUACAAAUUUUUAUUAUAAUAUGUAAUUUUAAACAUUCGCAUGAAAAAAUUAAAAUAAAUUAAAGAGAAUGCAUAAACAAAAGGUGAAGGAAAAAAAAGAUGAAAAUAGAUAAAAAAAAUGAAUGAUAAAGGGACAAUUAAAAAGCAAAAGAAAAAGAUAACGAAAAAAAACGAAAAGAAUACAAGUGAAGAAAAAAAGAAGAUUAAAAAAAGAAGAGAGAUAAAGGAAGAAAAGCAACUAAAACGGAGAGAAAAAAUUAACAACAGGAUAAAAGAGAAACAAAAUACCGCACAAAUAUAAAAUAAAAAGAAAAAAAGCAUUAAAAAAACUAAGAUUAAUGAAGAAGAUAAUUGCUAGGAAAAAGAGAGAAAGAAAGAGAGAGAAAAAUUGGAAAGAGAUAGGAAAGAGAAAAAGAGAAGAAAGUGAAUGAAAAGGAUAGAUAGAGAGAAGGAAGGAAUGAAUUUCAUCAUUUAAUUUUAGAACGAUCGCGUGUAGCCGAUGGCUGCCGCAGGGGCAUGUCAUGGCCCAGGGAGUCGGUUGCAAUAUCGAUCCUAACUUCACGCACCUGAAGCGCACCUUCUCCCGUGUGAAAGGAGAACUUGUCGCUGUUCCUGUUAUUCCAUCUUUUCUCCCUUCGAUUAUUCUUAUUCUCAUAUUUCAUUAUUUUCUUUUUUUUAAUGAUCACCAACAACUCUACCAUCAAUUAUUGAAACAUGUGGAAAAAUGUGCAAUCAUUUUAUAGAUAUAUUAUUUUGUAUUAUCUGAUUCGAAGAUCUUUUAUUAUUUGACUGUAUAGUUUCGAGUAUCGUUGCUUUUCGCUCCUAUUUGCAAUGACCAUUAAGUUCGAGAGCCACUCCUAUUCGCAGCAUCCCUAUUGGGAAAUUUUGUAUGGUAUAGUGUCCCGAGAGGUAUGCAUACUACUCGCGAUGAUCGAAAAUUUUUAUUGAACGUAAAAGGAGCUUUUAAAUAAUAAAAAAAAAAACACUUUUUUAGCUUUAUUGAUAUUAUUCAGUAUUGGAUUCAUUUGUAACGAUAUAGUUGUUUUAUAUAGUUGACUAAUUAAAUUAUUACUAGAUUUUUAGAAUACCACGUAAUUCAAGAAAAAUGGAUUUGUUCAUUUCUAAAAAAUUUUUUAUAAAAAAUUUAGUGCACUAUUAAGAAUUAAAUUUUUGGCAAUAUGUAUGUCUAAGUAUGUCUAAAUGUUAGAUCGGUCAAUGGUAAUUGAAUAAUUCAUCAAUUUAAAUUCUCAAUCCAAAAAAUAAAAUUCAAUAUAAUUUAUUCAUCUGUAAGCAAGAUUUACCAGACAGAUCAUCUGACAUCAAGGAUUUUCCUUGCUUCGAUCAAUCUCUCAAUAAAUUUAUGAAUUGACUUUUACGAAUAGAAUUCUAAUUUGGGAAUGUAUUAUAAAGAAAGAGAAUUUGUUCAAAAAAGAAGACGAAAAGUAAUAAAAAAACUAUUUCUACUGAUAA